rnacentral:rRNA from 1 species
GACGAACGCUGGCGGCGUGCUUAACACAUGCAAGUCGAACGGAAAGGCCCUGCUUUUGUGGGGUGCUCGAGUGGCGAACGGGUGAGUAACACGUGAGUAACCUGCCCUUGACUUUGGGAUAACUUCAGGAAACUGGGGCUAAUACCGGAUAGGAGCUCCUGCUGCAUGGUGGGGGUUGGAAAGUUUCGGCGGUUGGGGAUGGACUCGCGGCUUAUCAGCUUGUUGGUGGGGUAGUGGCUUACCAAGGCUUUGACGGGUAGCCGGCCUGAGAGGGUGACCGGCCACAUUGGGACUGAGAUACGGCCCAGACUCCUACGGGAGGCAGCAGUGGGGAAUAUUGCAGAAUGGGCGGGAGCCUGAUGCAGCAUCGCCGCGUGCGGGAUGACGGCCUUCGGGUUGUAAACCGCUUUCGCCUGUGACGAAGCGUGAGUGACGGUAAUGGGUAAAGAAGCACCGGCUAACUACGUG